rnacentral:lncRNA from 1 species
UGACUUGGUAGGUGUGUGUGUUUUAACUCUACUGUAAAAUUCAUGUGGUGUGUGAUAAAACUUUCACGUUAUUACUAGUAAGGAUAAUACAUCUAAAUUUUGGACUCAAAAGCUGCUAAUCAAUUAUUGUGAUUAAAUGUGUCAUGAAUAAUGUGAAAUUGCUAGUGGAAUACACUGGGGAGAUGGUAGUGGACCGUUUGUUAGG